ACGAACGCUGGCGGCGUGCUUAACACAUGCAAGUCGAACGGAGAUAGUUUGAAAGCUUGCUGAUAACUAUCUUAGUGGCGCACGGGUGAGUAACACGUGGGCAACCUGCCCGGAAGACUGGGAUAACACCUCGAAAGGGGUGCUAAUACCGGAUAUUUUCACGAAGUCGCAUGACUUUGUGCAGAAAGUUUUUCGCUUCCGGAUGAGCCCGCGUCCCAUUAGCUAGUUGGUGAGGUAACGGCUCACAAAGGCGACGAUGGGUAGCUG
rnacentral:rRNA from 1 species